rnacentral:rRNA from 1 species
GACGAACCGUGCGAACGUUGUUCGGAAUCACUGGGCUUAAAGAGCGCGCAGGCGGUCUAUCAAGUCAGAUGUGAAAUAUCCCGGCUUAACCGGGAGGGGUCAUUUGAAACUGGUAGACUAGAGUACAGCAGAGGAUAGCGGAAUUCCCGGUGUAGUGGUGAAAUGCGUAGAUAUCGGGAGGAACACCAGUGGCGAAGGCGGCUAUCUGGGCUGAAACUGACGCUGAGGCGCGAAGGCUAGGGGAGCAAACAGG